AGCGCCAUCAAAUUCCGCAGCGCUUUACAAUAGGUGGACAAACAGACAUGUAGUUGUAACCAGACAAGUUGGACACACAGGAACAGAGGGGUUGAGGGCCCUGCUCAAUGAGCUUACAUGCUAGAGGGAGUGGGGUAAAAUGACACAAAAGAUAAGGAUAGUAUUAGACUAAUGACAGUUGCAGAAGAGGAAUCAGUCAGGAGCUAUU
rnacentral:lncRNA from 1 species